rnacentral:tRNA from 1 species
AAUAAAAUGCCUGAUAAAAGGAUUAUUCUGAUAGAAUAAAUUAUAUAAUUAAUAAUUAUUUUUAUUA